AUGCUCUUGCACGAGGUCGAACUCGAUGAGCUCACCGAGGACGACAUCCUAUGGAAGCACAAGACUAGUGGGCAAUACUCGGCGGCAUCCACAUACAAGGGACAGUUUUUAGGGAUGGUUCUCAUACCCAUGGAUAAAAUGGUUUGGAAGUCUUGGGCUCCUCCAAAAGUCAAGUUCUUUGCUUGGUUAGCUCUUCAAGAUAGAAUUUGGGCCGCCGAUAGAUUGGCAAAGCGUGGAUGGCCAAAUUGUGACAUGUGCCCUCUUUGCAAGAGGAUUCAAGAAAGCGGGACUCACCUCCUCUACAAGUGCCGCUACACGAGAAGGCUAUGGUCUUUGGUCAUUGACAAAUACCACAUUCUCGGGCUUGACACAAACACUUGGCCCUUGUUCGACUCGGUUGAGGCUUGGUGGGCAAGUACUUGCGACAACACCACUCCAUUCAGACAAGCCAAGGCAUCCCUCACCAUACUUGUCUCAUAGACUAUUUGGAACGAGCGAUACGCGAGAGUGUUCAAGCAGAAGAGCGUGCCACCGACUAUAUUACUUGCCUCCAUCACGACCAAGGCUAGCCUCUGGAUCAUCGCCGGUGUAAAAAACUAG
rnacentral:rRNA from 1 species